AUGGCGCGGCCACCCCUGCUGGACCCCUGCCCGGCAUCCCCAUGGCGGACAGGCGGUGGCGGCACGUCGUCGUCGUCGCUGUCGUCGAGGACGAUGAUGCCUCCCUCGUCCCGGCCACGGCGACGAGCUUCGAACCGCGCGAAGGCGGCGCACUGGCGCUCCCUCUCCGUCUGCACCCAGUCGUCGCGCGCCCAUUUGAGGGCCGCUUCAUCAUCGAGCGCCUCCUCCUUGACGGGCUCCGUCUUCGCGACGGGGAGCCCCGGCUCCGGCUUGACGGCGGCGAUCCCCGGCUCCGGCUUGACGAAACAUGGAGGAGCCGAGGAGGUGGCACGCCAGCCGCCCUCGUUGAUGACGAUGCCGGUGCUGCGGGUGCGCCGGCCGAGCGGCGUCUCCGCGGCGGGCUCUGCCUUGACGCCGAAGUGCGCCGCCGAGCCGGAAGAGUGGGAGGAGGAGCAGGAGGAGGAGGAGCCGGCGAACCUCCUCGGCACCCACGGCCCGGCGCUCCGGCAGGGGGCCGGCACGGCCGCCGCGGCGGGGUACGCCAGCGGCGGGUUGUUGCCGCCCUCGAGGUGUGCUAUCACCUCGUGUAGGGUGCGGCCGGGGACGCCCCACCAGACGCGGCGGCCGUCAUUGUUCUUUGUGCCGCCGACCACCGGCGCCCCGUUCGUGGACGCCAGCCUCUGCGCCAGCCGCCGCUGGAAAUAUUCCGUCCAAACCGCGUGGUUGUCGGCGGCGUACUGGGGGAGGGCGCGCUGCUCCUCCGAUAGGGACGACCGCACGCGGCCGACAUCGGCGGCGAAGAGGCCAGGGCGCGCGUCGACGUCGGGCACUAGGGGGAUGGGGACGCCGCCGUUGCUGAGCUUCCACUCGUCGGCCCGACGCGCAUGUCCGGCGGCGCCGGGAUGUUCGCCUCGAAGAGAAGCCACGACUCGCACUCCUGGAGCGUGCGGCGGCCGAAGCCGUUGGCCGCCGCGGCGUCGCCGGGGAAGCGUUCGACCAUGGAGAGAAGAAGGGGAAGGGGAGGGAAGGGGAGAGCGGCAGAGCUCGAUGGCGAAAGGGAGGGACGGCGGCUGGUUUGGGCUCGGCGGACUCGGGCUGAUGUGGCCAGCGGCGAGGGAAGCCUCUGUUUAUAUAGCCCCAGGCCGUGUGAACGCGUGGCGGAAGGGGAGGCGUCGCCGCGCCAACCUGCCUGUGACGCGCCGCCCGUGA
rnacentral:rRNA from 1 species